AGUGAACGCUGGCGGUAGGCCUAACACAUGCAAGUCGAACGGCAGCACAGUAAGAGCUUGCUCUUACGGGUGGCGAGUGGCGGACGGGUGAGGAAUACAUCGGAAUCUACUUUUUCGUGGGGGAUAACGUAGGGAAACUUACGCUAAUACCGCAUACGACCUACGGGUGAAAGCAGGGGAUCUUCGGACCUUGCGCGAUUGAAUGAGCCGAUGUCGGAUUAGCUAGUUGGCGGGGUAAAGGCCCACCAAGGCGACGAUCCGUAGCUGGUCUGAGAGGAUGAUCAGCCACACUGGAACUGAGACAUGGUCCAGACUCCUACGGGAGGCAGCAGUGGGGAAUAUUGGACAAAGGGCGCAAGCCUGAUCCAGCCAUACCGCGUGGGUGAAGAAGGCCUUCGGGUUGUAAAGCCCUUUUGUUGGGAAAGAAAAGCAGCAGGUUAAUACCCCGCUGUUCUGACGGUACCCAAAGAAUAAGCACCGGCUAACUUCGUG
rnacentral:rRNA from 1 species